rnacentral:tRNA from 1 species
CGGGGCGUAGCGCAGUUUGGCUAGCGCGCCUGCCUUGGGAGCAGGAGGCCGGAGGUUCAAAUCCUCUCGCCCCGA